rnacentral:tRNA from 1 species
UCCCUGGUGGCUCAGAGGUUAAAGUGUCUGCCUCCGAUGCGGAAGACCUGGGUUCGAUCCCUGAGUGGGGAA